AGAAAAUAAUGGAAACAAUAAACAUUCUUAAGAGGAAAGCUGAUUAAAUUGUGGUACAUCCAGGGAAAACGGUGCCCUAUAGUGAGAUUCCCAGGAAGCAUCACUUUUCCUGAUAAGGACUACGAUGGCUGAGACUGAAUGCUUACUCAUGCUGGUGGCAGGUCCUCCACUCAGGGGUCAGCAGGAACUGCAUUGAAUUCCCUGGGAAACAUGCCUCUGUAUCGCUGUCUUCAGGCUCAGGCUCCACCUCUGCACUGAGUUCACACAGGUGGGGACAGAAGUCUAUACCAAAUAGGUGGUGCAGCUGGGGAGAAGAGGGAUGCCUUCAGCUACAGAUGGUUAGAGCAUCUAUAGGAGCCAUCUAGAAAUUCCUGUUGCUCCAGCUUCAAUAUUUCAUGUGUCUGGGGUGAAACUAGGCCUUCCGUUCACUCAUUACUGAGGUCCAGAAUGUCUCAGACCCAAACUUGUCCAAGAAAUAACCAUAGACAGGAAUCUCAGAGUCAUCUUUUCUGCAGGUGAGAUGAAACUUGGGAGAAAACUGAAAAGUUGAAUUUGAAUAUCCUAUCAUAGGUCGUUUGAUAGACUAAGAAAAAAUUAAUUUUCUGGAGAAGUGUCAUGACUAA